UGGGGUAUAGCUCAGUUGGUAGAAUUCUUGCCUCCCAUGCACAAGGCCCUGGGUUCAAUCCCCAGCACCACAC
rnacentral:tRNA from 1 species